CGCCGCUGUCCUUUUGACGACGAGAGACGACGAGACCGGGCAUGCAUGCAUGAGGGAGCACGCGGGCAACUCGCGGUUCUUUUUUUUUUUUCCUUGCUCUUGUGUGUACCUGCAAGACCGCAUGCAAACGGGAUUACGCAACGGUGACACAACACAACAACCGGGGCGGGCAGUGGUGCAGUAGUAGUGCAGUGCAGGUGUGCAAGAGCAAGACGACGAGAUGGUCACUGGGGCUAAGAUUUGACGACACGAGCUGUGACAAAAGAGACCUUCUCAUGUGGGUCCAGGACGGCACGACGAGACGACUAUUGCUGAUAGCCCCAUGCCAAAAUGCGCACUGUUGGACGGCCAUGAUAAUUGAUAUGGAAAGGUGGCGUUUUCGUUAACCAGACAGA
rnacentral:lncRNA from 1 species